AACAAACGCUGGCGGCGUGCCUAAUACAUGCAAGUCGAACGGGGAAAGCUUUCGGGUGAGUACUAGUGGCGCACGGGUGAGGAACGCGUGGAUAAUCUGCCUUAGAGUGGGGGAUAACUAGUCGAAAGAUUAGCUAAUACCGCAUAAGACCACGAGAGCUGCGGCUUUUGAGGUCAAAGGUUUUUCGCUCUAAGAUGAGUCCGCGUAAGAUUAGCUAGUUGGUGAGGUAACGGCUCACCAAGGCGACGAUCUUUAACUGGUCUGAGAGGAUGAUCAGUCACACUGGAACUGAGACACGGUCCAGACGCCUACGGGAGGCAGCAGGAGGGAAUAUUGCACAAAGGAGGAAACUCUGAUGCAGCGACGCCGCGUGAGUGAUGAAGGCCUUCGGGUCGUAAAGCUCUGUCGCAGGGGAAGAACACAAUGAAGGUACCCUGUAAGAAAGGAUCGGCUAACUUCGUG
rnacentral:rRNA from 1 species